rnacentral:lncRNA from 1 species
AUGUUAGCCAAGUACCAGAAAUUUCAAACUCCAUUUAAGCUAAUUAAGCAGUCAGCAGACCGCCAACAUAUAACUGGUUGGAGAAGGAAGGGCACAGUGCAAAAUGCAACACACCUGGUGCAGAUACCCCGAGCUGAAAGCCGUGGAGAAUUUGGUGCUUCAGAUCCUGCCCCUCUGCUCUCCCACAAGCUGCCAGCAACCAGGGAAGGCUCUGUCCAGGCCUUAGAAAGGAGAAAUCUUGGAAGACGCACUGGUUUUAUAUUGAUUUUACUUCUGAGGGCUUGGAUCCCAGGUCUGCUCAGAGUCACCGUUAAAAUGAGUGUUUUGGGAACAAAAGCACAGCAGUGCCGUUUUCUUCCUGACUCUUUGGCACCUGUGCAGUUUCCAAGAGAACAAACACUAAUAAGUCUCCUGUCCUUUGAGCUCAUCUUUCUGACACAUCGCUUGACGUAUGCAAUGAAGAGUUUCUUCUGAGAGAGGUCUCCUGAAAAUGUCACUGCAAGUUGCACAUCUGCAUGGACUUGCCUGCAGCUCUCCCUGGAGCCUCAUCCUUCCCUUCCUAUCAUGAUGGCAUGGCUUUCCCUCGGAUCCUAUCCAUGCUGGACAGGAUUACCACAGGCAGAUGACACUAUAUUGAACUCGGAGCAUGAUCUUGGCUUUACUGUGCCGCAGGAGAUCGCCCUCGCAGCCCAGGUGUGCCCAAGCUGGUCACCGCUGUCCCUCCCCUGGAGCAGCCAGGGGGCUCCUCCUGCAGCUCGGGCUGCAUCAGCUCCUGGGCUGCUGCCCUGGGCUUCGGGGACAGGAACCCAGACAGGGCACAAGCAGCAGCAUUUCCCUUGGUAGUGCAGCCCCUUUCCAGGAGGAACUAAACAACAAAUGACUAAGGGAAAACUUAAAUUAUGUGGAAGCCUUGCUUGAGAAACAAGAUGAGGCACUUCAUUAAAAUACAUUAGAAUAGGCAAACAAUCUGUUUAAAUUUCACAUUUUGCCAGCUAUAAAACCUACUCUAGUUUACAGCAGGCCUGAGAAACUGAAACAGCUGGCAAAAUAAUGAAAAACAUUCCUAUUGCCUUCUGCUUAAAUUGCAGGAAGGUUGUAGAGAAAUUGCAUCCUGAUUUAUCUGAAAUAAUGCAAGAAAAACUCUAAUGGGUGAAUUGUGUAGAAAGUAAAGGUGUUUUGUUCAUGUGUGUUUGUUUGUUUGUUUAUUUUCCCCUCCAGCACAGGAGCUACUCAUUUCUGAUGCUAGUUCUUGUUUAAGCUGACCCUUCAGGUUCCCUGCUGGUAUUACUUGAGGCACCAAAGUGACCCAGGAUCAUCCAGAUCGCCCAUUUGCACAUCACUGAUUGCUCAGAAGUGGGCUUGGAUGCCAGCAGGUACUGGGUGGCUCAGUGUGGGCUGCCUAUGCUCCCAGAGCGAGCUGCAGGGCCCUUCUGGUGACACUGGGACUUGAAAAAAUGAUCCUCUCUGUGCACAGCUUGAGGUGAGUCACGGCAGCGAGCCGCCUGCCUGUCCCCAUGCAGCCAGCAGUGGUGUCUGGGCACCCUCGGUCUGUCCUCCUGCAGGACGGUGCAGAGCAGUGAGGCCAUUUCUUGUGCAGAUGACUUUGAUUACCUGCUUGAGGAUCUUUCCUAUCAAUUUGUAAAGACAAGAAUGUGAAUGUCGCUUUGCUGCUGCUGACUCUGAAGUAACGUGGAUUUUUUUGGCAGUUUACUUGACGUUUGAGGUUGCAUAGCCAGUUAUAGACCUACCAGCCCUUCCUUGGGUUACUAACUCCAUUACCACCUCUAUCCAGUUUCAGAAUAAACUCUAAAAUCGUGGUUAAACA